rnacentral:rRNA from 1 species
AGAGUUUGAUCCUGGCUCAGGAUGAACGCUGGCGGCGUGGAUAAGGCAUGCAAGUUGAACGGAACUAAUCCGACGGAAGUAUUGAUCGAAGCUAACUAGUAUUUAUACGGGUUAGUCGAGUGAUAUAUGGAAGACGGACAGUUUAGUAGCAAACGAGGUAGUAAUAUUUAGGAACGCACCCCGAAGUCACGAAUAGCCCACCGAAAGGUGGAGUAAUACGUGAUAGUACCGCAAGGUUAAAGAUUUAUCGCUUCGGGAGCGGCUUAAACAGUAUCAGCUAGUUGGUAAGGUAAUGGCUUACCAAGGCUAUGACGCUUAGGAGAGGUGAGAGCCUGACCUCCACCGAUGGGACUGCGACACGGCCCAUACACCUACGGGUGGCUGCAGUCGAGAAUCUUCCACAAUGGACGAAAGUCUGAUGGAGCGACGCCGCGUGAUCGAUGAAGUGCUUCGGUAUGUAAAGAUCUUUUAUGGGGGAAGAAGUUUAUUGACGGUACCCCAUGAAUAAGGGCCUGCAAAACUCGUGCCAGCAGCAGCGGUAAUACGAGUGGCCCAAGCGUUAUCCGGAUUUAUUGGGCGUAAAGGAUAUGUAGGUGGUUUUAUUAGUCGGGUGUCUAACCUCUGUGCUCAACAUGGAGACAGCAUUCGAAACGGUAAGACUAGGGUAUGUCAGGGGGUAAGCGGAACUCAUAGUGUAGGGGUGAAAUCCGUUGAUAUUUAUGGGGAACACCAAAAGCGAAGGCAGCUUACUGGGACAUUACUGACACUGAAAUUAUGAAAGCGUGGGGUAGCGAAUGGGAUUAGAUACCCCCAGUAGUCCACGCCCUAAACGAUGUUCUCUCGCUAUCAUGAGUAUCGACCCUCAUGGUGGCUUAGCUAACGCGGUAAGAGAACCGCCUGGGAAGUACGAUCGCAAGAUUAAAACUCAAAGGAAUAGACGGGGACCUGCACAAGCAGUGGAUUAUGUGGUUUAAUUCGAUGGUAAACGAAGAACCUCACCAGGAUUUGAAACUCACGUGAAAGCCUAAGGAAACUAUGGCCCUCGCAAGACACGUGGACAGGUGAUGCAUGGCCGUCGUCAGUUCGUGGUUUGAACUGUUCCCUUCAGUGGGGUAACGAACGCAACCCUUAUCGUGUGUUACAAGUGUCACACGAGACUGCCCCGUAAUCUGGGCGCAAGAUACAGCUUAUAGACUAUAGCUGAUAGCUUAUGGCAUUAAAAUGCUAUUAGCUAUCGACUAUCAGUCAUCAGCUUGCAUUUUGCGAGUAGAUUACGGGGAGGAAGGAGAGGAUGACGCCAGGUCAGCAUGUCCCUUUGACAUCCUGGGCUACACACAUAAUACAAUCGCAUAGACAACGGGUCGCGACGGGGUAACCCUGAGCCAAUCCUUCAAACUAUGCGCCAGUUCAGAUUGUGGUCUGCAACUCGACCACAUGAAGCCGGAAUUGCUAGUAAUCGCGGGUCAGCCAAACCGCGGUGAAUACGUUCUCAGGUCUUGCACACACCGCCCGU